CAACAAAGAUGGCGCUGGAACGCACAAGGUCCCGCUGCAGCGGGCGCACGCAGCCUUCAGGGUUGCUCGUUUCAGCUAUCGGAGAGGGUAGAUGGUACUGGUGGUAGUAUAAUUCCUACAGCACGAAUCCACAACAUUUGUGGAUAUGUAUAUACACUCACUCUAAGUCUUACAGGCCAAAGCACCCGCCCUAUUUGCACAGUGAUUGGAUACCCUGACUGUCAGUUAUAACAAAGGCAGUCUCAAGCUGUGAUAAUUAAUACAAUGCAUUAUGGGUCAUAUAACAAAAAAAGUUUUUCUCACAUUAGGUUGAUAUGAGUGUGAUCAUUAUUAGAGCAUAUUAAUUCACAUAAAGGUGUAGUAAAGUCUGUGGGUUGAUAAGUGUGUACCUUUAAUAACCAAAUAGAUAAAAGUAUUUUUUCUUGCACCACUCAUAUUAGAACGCUUAAUGACAUCAUUACACCUUCCCUUUAUAAGGGCUAGCACCUAGUCCAGUGUUUUAUUGCACAGGUACUGAGCUCCCACUGCAGAUUCACAGAAGGUUUCCUAUCUAAGUGACCAUUCAGUACCUGGGUUUCCGAAUUUUUUAUACAAGCUGUUUCACCAUAAGGUGUUUCAAUAUGAGUGAAGAUCAUGGCUAAUGACAUCACAGUGCCUGAUUCUGAGUUGCAUGCAAAAACCAAUGCAGCAGCAUCUAUAGGCUGUUGCCUAUCUACAACUUUAUGACAAUGGAAUACAAACUCCUUUUGUGCACAUCCAUACAGCUGAAUGUGCAAGGAGUGAUACACCACCAUCGGUUGCACCCAGGGGCGUAGGUUCCGGCGGAGCGUGAGCUCCAGGCACCGAAACUGUCAGAAGGUGCCGGCGAACUGUGUAUAAUGGGCUACCUGGCAUAAUGUGUAUAAUGGGCUACCUGCCGCAAUGUGUAUAAUGGGCUAACUGCUGCAAUGUGUAUAUGGGGCUACCUGCCACAAUGUGUAUAUAGGGCUACCUGCUGCAAUGUGUAUAUGGGGCCACAUGCUGCAAUGUGUAUAAGGGGCUCUAUUGAGGUUUUAUGUGUGUAAGAGGCUCUAACUUGGCAUAAUUCAGGUUACCGCUGCAGGGAAGGUGAUGGAGCUGGGGUCUGAGGAAGGUGAUGGAGACUGAAUAUGGAGCUGUGGCUGAGGAAGAUGAGUGUCUAGGGGCUGAGGAAGGUGAUUGGGCUGUGUCCGAGGAAGGUGAUGGGUAUGUGUUUCAGUAUAUAUGGGGGGAGGCGCUGAGACAUGAACUUGCUCUGGGUGCAAUGGCUACACGCUACGCCUCUGGUUGCUCCAUGAAAAUUUGUACCAGACCUAUAGCAGGUGUGGUUUCUCCAUCUGACCAUGGCCUCCUAUGUCUGUGGCUGUGCAGCUGUGAAUGCAGUCGCUUGCAUUGACACAUCCGCAACACUCACAUAAGAAGCCCUCUGGCCCUUAUUUGUGUGCGCUAUUAGCCAGCACCCAGACAUCACUCCCAGGAACACCCAUUACUUUUCCUCCACCUUUCUGAUAUCAUCAGUCCUGAUUGCAAUAGCACCUUUGUGAGUACACUAAGUAACACAAGCACUGGAGCACAUGCUGGCUAAGUACCUAAUGUCUGGGUUUUCGUUAAGCUCCAAUUAUCUGGAUCCAGACCCUAUAGAUUCCAGCUUUUUAAUAUAUGGAUUGAAAAGCCAAAAUGUUUUUAUAUAUUUUUUUUAAUUGUACAAAAAUAAUAUAUAUAUCCAUUUAAGCUAAGUUGUAAUGCACUAGUUUCUUUUUCCCUGUUAUGUAGUACAGGUUGAGUAUCCCUUAUCCAAAAUGCUUGGGACCAGAAGUAUUUUGGAUAUCGGAUUUUUCUGUAUUUUGGAAUAAUUGCAUACCAUAAUGAGAUAUCAUGGUGAUGGGACCCAAGUCUGAGCACAGAAUGCAUUUAUGUUUCAUAUACACCUUAUACACGCAGCCUGAAGGUCAUUUUAGCCAAUAUUUUUUAUAACUUUGUGCAUUAAACAAAGUGUGUCUACAUUCACACAAUUCAUUUAUGUUUCAUAUACACCUUAUACACACAGCCUGAAGGUCAUUUAAUACAAUAUUUUUAAUAACUUUGUGUAUUAAACAAGGUUUGUGUACACUGAGCCAUCAAAAAACAAAAGUUUCACUAUCUCACUCUCACUCAAAAAAGUCCGUAUUUCGGAAUACGGACUGCCACUAAUCACAAGACAGAAGGUGAUGACUUAAUAAGCUACUUAGACCCCUUUCAGACAUGCAUCAAAAAUCCCGGGUUUAUGCACAUGAAUGCAUCAACCCAAGAUUUUGGAAUGUCUGAAUGUAAACGACCCAGGACUAAGUCCCGGGUCCGCAACCAUGCUCCCAACCAGGGUCACAGAGCUGAGACUUGGAAAUGUGUUGGUGUGCUGGACCUGGCAAUUUCCCGGAUCUGAUGUAUGAAAGGGGUGUAAGAGAAAUCUUUCUCAAGUUGACAAAAAGAGUUUUAUUUCCAAGAAGAAAAAGUGUUAUCCUUCAAUAACAAGGCCACAAUAAUAAAAUUAUACGUUGGCAUGGUGAAAUUGUGGAAAUAAACUUUUUAUGAAGUUUUGGACUUGUAUCAUUUGCACUUAUAGAUUGUAACUACUUUGUUGGUUUGUGUUUUUUUAAUUUAGUGAUAUUCUAUAUUGUUUGAAUUUGGGGCUACAAUUUUUGUGGUGCUCAUCAAACCUGUAUGCAUCCUUUUCUGUACAUUAUAUACUAUACUAUACUGUAUGUCUUUCCUUAUUUAUAGCAGGCUCCUUUCUGGGAAUGCAACCACGGCCUCUGUCUGCCACCCUUAAAAUGGUCUGUUAUAUGUCAAUUAUAUUUCCAUCUGUAGUGAGAGUAUGCUGAUGCAAUAUAAAGUCAUGUAAAAAAAAUAUGUUAUUGCUUAUAUCAUUGUUAAAAGAGAUGUGACAUCAAAUUGUUAAGUAUACCGAAAGACAAUUAUGAUUCAUGUUUAAUUUUCAUUAUAUUUCUAAAUUGAAUAAUGAUGUAUAAAAAAUGUUGCGCUGCAUAUAUUUGUUCUAUAACAUUAUCAACUAUUUUUCUUUUCAUUUUAGAACUGGGCUCUCCUGUGAGUAGGCCAGUUAGGUCUCUUCCUCUGCUACCUGUGAUGGAGACGGGAUGUAAUUAUGAUCCCUGUGACUGGGAUCCCGGCAGUCAAAGCAUACCGAUGCUGGGAUUCCCAGCCACCAAAAUGGCGGCAGAGGGCCAAGGACUAUUCUCACUCGUGGGUGUCCAUGACACUCAUAAAGUGGGAAUAGAACCUGUAGUGAGCACAGCGAGCCACCGAGUCCACAAGGGGCUUUGUUGCGCUCAACUCCCCAUACGCAUUCUGGUGGUCGGGAUCCCGUUGUCGGUAUGCUGACUGCCGGGAUCCCGGCUGCCGGUCAGAAAAUCCCAACCCAUGGAGUCACUGUGCUCUUGUGGUGUAGUGGAGGCAAAAGUUAGUUCUGUCCUGGACGUACUACUUUCAUUUGAAUGCUGUAGUUUGAUAUGUUGAGUUUACUGUAGCUCUCUUGCUGAUGCUUACAAAGCAUUUAAUGCCACAGUCAUCUGUAUUAACUUAUCUAUGCUCUCCAUGACAUUUGUAAGAUUAUUGUGGGCAAUGGAGACAGCAAUUAGAUAUCUUACUGCCCUUUUAUUUGUUAAAUCCUUCGGCUCAAGUUUUAAGUUUUUUGGUCAGAAUAAAUCUGUCAAAGCCACUACCAUUUCAAUUCUAGAGUUGUUUGAUGGGGAGGAGUGUUUUAAUGGUCAGGCUGCUCACAAUGGCUUUCUGCUGGUGCAGUUGGGGUAGAGUGUAUUGCCACAAAUUAAAAAAUACAGUAUAUGAUGGUGUCUUCCUUUUCAGGUGUAUUCGCUUGUUAUUCAUCUGUAGCCUAUUUGCAAGCAUUUCUGAUUUUGCCACUUUUUUUUUAUUUAUUAAAAUAUUAAAAAAAAAACAACACUUAA